GUGUAUAUAGCUUAGUGGUAAAGCUUUAGUCUGUGGAACUAAAUAACGUGAGUUCAAUCCUCACUAUACACC
rnacentral:tRNA from 1 species